rnacentral:sRNA from 1 species
UUUUCGUCUGCACGUGAGAGGAUGAGAAUCUCCGAAGGAGGUUUGAGCCGAACGUAGUGAGACCACGUUGCUUUAGCAACGGCCCGCAGGGCAAGCAUCGAAGAUGCGCAUAAUCCUCUCAUGCCGACCA